rnacentral:rRNA from 1 species
GAUGAACGCUGGCGGCGUGCCUAAUACAUGCAAGUCGAGCGAACGGACGCGAAGCUUGCUUCUCUGAUGUUAGCGGCGGACGGGUGAGUCACACGUGGAUAACCUACCUAUAAGACUGAGAUCACUUCGGGAAACCGUAGCUAAUACCGGAUAAUAUUUUGAACCGCAUGGUUCAAAAGUGAAAGACGGUCUUGCUGUCACUUAUCGAUGGAUCCGCGCUGCAUUAGCUAGUUGUUAAGGUAACGGCUUACCAAGGCAACGAUGCAUAGCCGACCUGAGAGGGGGAUCGGCCGCACUGGAACUGAGACACGGUCCAGACUCCUACGGGAGGCAGCAGUAGGGAAUCUUACGCAAUGGGCGAAAGCCUGACGGAGCAACGCCACGUGAGUGAUGAAGGUCUUCGGAUCGUAAAACUCUGUUAUUAGGGAAGAACAUAUGUGUAAGUAACUGUGCACAGCGUGACGGUACCGAAUCAGAAAGCCACGGCUAACUACGUG